AUUGAACGCUGGCGGCAGGCCUAACACAUGCAAGUCGAGCGAGCGGCGGACGGGUGAGCAAUGUCUGGGAAACUGCCUGAUGGAGGGGGAUAACUACUGGCAACGGUAGCUAUUACCGCAUACCAUCAGAUGUGCCCAGCUGGGAUUAGCUAGUAGGUGGGGUAAUGGCUCACCUAGGCAAUGUCACCUAGCGGUUCUGAGAGGACUACCAGCCGCACUGGAACUGAGACACGGUCCCGAGUCCUACGGGAGGCAGCAGUGGGGAAUAUUGCACAAUGGGCGCAAGCCGGAUGCAGCCAUGCCGAGUGUAUGAAGAAGGCCUUCGGGUUGUAAAGCACUUUCAGCGGGGAGGCGUUACUCGCAGAAGAAGCACCGGCUAACUCCGUGCCAGCAGCCGCGGUAAUUC
rnacentral:rRNA from 1 species